GGGCCGGUAGAUCAGCCCGGUAGAUCGCCGCUCUCGCAAGGCGGAGGUCCGGGGUUCGAAUCCCCGCCGGUCCACCA
rnacentral:tRNA from 2 species